UACGUAGGGGGCAAGCGUUGUCCGGAUUUAUUGGGCGUAAAGAGCGUGUAGGCGGCCAGGCAGGUCCGCUGUGAAAACUCGAGGCUCAACCUCGAGAGGUCGGUGGAAACCGUCUGGCUAGAGUCCGGAAGAGGAGAGUGGAAUUCCCGGUGUAGCGGUGAAAUGCGCAGAUAUCGGGAAGAACACCCAUGGCGAAGGCGGCUCUCUGGGACGGUACUGACGCUGAGACGCGAAAGCGUGGGGAGCGAACAGG
rnacentral:rRNA from 1 species